rnacentral:piRNA from 1 species
UGCUAAUUUCACAGUGGAAUCUUGAA